rnacentral:rRNA from 1 species
UACGUAGGGGGGCUAGCGUUUGUCCGGAAUCAUUGGGCGUAAAGCGCGUGUAGGCGGUCCGGUAAGUCCGCUGUGAAAGUCGGGGGGCUCAACCCUCGGAUGCCGGUGGAUACUGUCGGGCUUGAGUACGGAAGAGGCGAGUGGAAUUCCUGGUGUAGCGGUGAAAAUGCGCAGAUAUCAGGAGGAACACCAAUUGCGAAGGCAGCUCGCUGGGACGUUACUGACGCUGAGACGCGAAAAGCGUGGGGGAGCAAACAGG